UGAGGAAUAUUGCUCAAUGGGCGAAAGCCUGAAGCAGCAACGCCGCGUGCGCGAUGAAGGUCUUCGGUUCGUAAAGCGCUUUUGAGAGGGACGAGAUAGGACGGUACCUCUUGAAUAAGUCACGGCUAACUACGUGCCAGCAGCCGCGGUAAAACGUAGGUGGCAAGCGUUCUCCGGAUUCACUGGGCGUAAAGCGCGUGCAGGUGGCUUCGUAAGUUGGACGUUAAAUCUUUCGGCCUAACCGGGAGGUGUCGUUCAAUACUGCGGGGCUUGAGGGUAGAAGAGGGGGGUGGAAUUGCCGGUGUAGUGGUGAAAUGCGUAGAUAUCGGCAGGAACACCUGUGGCGAAAGCGGCCCCCUGGUCUGCUCCUGACACUCAGAC
rnacentral:rRNA from 1 species